rnacentral:rRNA from 1 species
AACGAACGCUGGCGGCACGUUUUAAGCAUGCAAGUCGAAUGGUAAAUAGGGGCAACUCUAUGAGAAUGGCGAACGGGUGAGUAACACGUAGGUGAUCUGCCCUGGAGAUGGGGAUAGCAUGUGGAAACACAGGGUAAUACCGAAUAAGCCCACGAUCUUAUGGGAAUGUGAGUAAAGGGUCAUAAGGUAGCGCUCUGGGAGGAGCCUGCGGUGGAUUAGCUAGUUGGUGGGGUAAAGGCCUGCCAAGGCGACGAUCAGUAGCCGGCCUGAGAGGGUGUACGGCCACACUGGAACUGAGACACGGUCCAGACUCCUACGGGAGGCAGCAGCUAAGAAUCUUCCGCAAUGGGCGAAAGCCUGACGGAGCGAUGCCGCGUGAUUGAUGAAGGUAGAGAUAUUGUAAAAAUCUUUUCCAGAUGAGGAAUAAGUGUGGGAGGGAAUGCCCGCAUGAUGACGUUAGUCUGGGAAUAAGCCCCGGCCAAUUACGUGCCAGCAGCCGCCGUAA